rnacentral:rRNA from 1 species
AUGAACGCUGGCGGCGUGCCUCAUACAUGCAAGUCGCGCGAACGGACGAGAAGCUUGCUUCUCUGAUGUUAGCGGCGGACGGGUGAGUAACACGUGGAUAACCUACCUAUAAGACUGGGAUAACUUCGGGAAACCGGAGCUAAUACCGGAUGAUAUUUUGAACCGCAUGGUUCAAAAGUGAAAGACGGUCUUGCUGUCACUUAUAGAUGGAUCCGCGCUGCAUUAGCUAGUUGGUAAGGUAACGGCUUACCAAGGCAACGAUGCAUAGCCGACCUGAGAGGGUGAUCGGCCACACUGGAACUGAGACACGGUCCAGACUCCUACGGGAGGCAGCAGUAGGGAAUCUUCCGCAAUGGGCGAAAGCCUGACGGAGCAACGCCGCGUGAGUGAUGAAGGUCUUCGGAUCGUAAAACUCUGUUAUUAGGGAAGAACAUAUGUGUAAGUAACUGUGCACAUCUUGACGGUACCUAAUCAGAGAGCCACGGCUAACUACGUG